GAUGAACGCUAGCGGCAGGCCUAACACAUGCAAGUCGAGGGGCAGCACAGAAACAGCAAUGUUUUGGUGGCGACCGGCGGACGGGUGCGUGACGCGUAUGCAACCUACCUUUAACAGGGGGAUAACGGAGAGAAAUUUCCACCAAUACCCCAUAACAUCGAUCAAGGCAUCUUGAUUGGUUGACAACUCCGGUGGUGAAAUAUGGGCAUGCGUUGUAUUAGGUAGUUGGUGAGGUAAUGGCUCACCAAGCCUACGAUACAUAGGGGGACUGAGAGGUUAGCCCCCCACACUGGUACUGAGACACGGACCAGACUCCUACGGGAGGCAGCAGUGAGGAAUAUUGGUCAAUGGGGGCAACCCUGAACCAGCCAUGCCGCGUGCAGGAAGACGGCUCUAUGAGUUGUAAACUGCUUUUAAACAGGGAUAAAGCACAGUAUGUAUACUGUGUUGAAGGUACUGUAAGAAUAAGGAUCGGCUAACUCCGUGCCAGCAGCCGCCGCGG
rnacentral:rRNA from 1 species